rnacentral:rRNA from 1 species
AGCAAUUAUACAGCGAAACUGCGAAUGGCUCAUUAUAUAAGUUAUCGUUUAUUUGAUAGUACCUUACUACUUGGAUAACCGUGGUAAUUCUAGAGCUAAUACAUGCUAAAAAUCCCGACUUCGGAAGGGAUGUAUUUAUUAGAUUAAAAACCAAUGCCCUCUGGGCUCUCUGGUGAUUCAUGAUAACUUCUCGAAUCGCAUGGCCUUGUGCCGGCGAUGGUUCAUUCAAAUUUCUUCCCUAUCAACUUUCGAUGUUUGGGUAGUGGCCAAACAUGGUUGCAACGGGUAACGGAGGGUUAGGGCUCGACCCCGGAGAAGGAGCCUGAGAAACGGCUACUACAUCCAAGGAAGGCAGCAGGCGCGCAAAUUACCCAAUCCCGAUUCGGGGAGGUAGUGACAAUAAAUACUGAUACAGGGCUCUUUUGGGUCUUGUAAUUGGAAUGAGUACAAUUUAAAUCCCUUAACGAGGAACAAUUGGAGGGCAAGUCUGGUGCCAGCAGCCGCGGUAAUUCCAGCUCCAAUAGCGUAUAUUAAAGUUGUUGUGGUUAAAAAGCUCGUAGUUGAACCUUGGGCCUGGCUGGCCGGUCCGCCUCACCGCGUGUACUGGUCCGGCCGGGCCUUUCCCUCUGUGGAACCCCAUGCCCUUCACUGGGUGUGGCGGGGAAACAGGACUUUUACUUUGAAAAAAUUAGAGUGCUCCAGGCAGGCCUAUGCUCGAAUACAUUAGCAUGGAAUAAUAAAAUAGGACGCGCGGUUCUAUUUUGUUGGUUUCUAGGACCGCCGUAAUGAUUAAUAGGGACAGUCGGGGGCAUCAGUAUUCAAUUGUCAGAGGUGAAAUUCUUGGAUUUAUUGAAGACUAACUACUGCGAAAGCAUUUGCCAAGGAUGUUUUCAUUAAUCAGGAACGAAAGUUAGGGGAUCGAAGACGAUCAGAU